AGAGUUUGAUCCUGGCUCAGGACGAACGCUGGCGGCGCGCCUAACACAUGCAAGUCGAACGAGCGAGAGAGAGCUUGCUUUCUCGAGCGAGUGGCGAACGGGUGAGUAACGCGUGAGGAACCUGCCUCAAAGAGGGGGACAACAGUUGGAAACGACUGCUAAUACCGCAUAAGCCCACAGGUCGGCAUCGACCAGAGGGAAAAGGAGCAAUCCGCUUUGAGAUGGCCUCGCGUCCGAUUAGCUAGUUGGUGAGGUAAUGGCCCACCAAGGCAACGAUCGGUAGCCGGACUGAGAGGUUGAACGGCCACAUUGGGACUGAGACACGGCCCAGACUCCUACGGGAGGCAGCAGUGGGGAAUAUUGCACAAUGGGGGAAACCCUGAUGCAGCGACGCCGCGUGGAGGAAGAAGGUCUUCGGAUUGUAAACUCCUGUUGUUGAGGAAGAUAAUGACGGUACUCAACAAGGAAGUGACGGCUAACUACGUGCCAGCAGCCGCGGUAAAACGUAGGUCACAAGCGUUGUCCGGAAUUACUGGGUGUAAAGGGAGCGCAGGCGGGAAGACAAGUUGGAAGUGAAAUCUAUGGGCUCAACCCAUAAACUGCUUUCAAAACUGUUUUUCUUGAGUAGUGCAGAGGUAGGCGGAAUUCCCGGUGUAGCGGUGGAAUGCGUAGAUAUCGGGAGGAACACCAGUGGCGAAGGCGGCCUACUGGGCACCAACUGACGCUGAGGCUCGAAAGUGUGGGUAGCAAACAGGAUUAGAUACCCUGGUAGUCCACACCGUAAACGAUGAUUACUAGGUGUUGGAGGAUUGACCCCUUCAGUGCCGCAGUUAACACAAUAAGUAAUCCACCUGGGGAGUACGACCGCAAGGUUGAAACUCAAAGGAAUUGACGGGGGCCCGCACAAGCAGUGGAGUAUGUGGUUUAAUUCGA
rnacentral:rRNA from 1 species